rnacentral:rRNA from 1 species
GUCCACGCCGUAAACGAUGAUAACUAGCUGUUCGGGCUCAUAGAGCUUGAGUGGCGCAGCUAACGCAUUAAGUUAUCCGCCUGGGGAGUACGGUCGCAAGAUUAAAACUCAAAGGAAUUGACGGGGGCCUGCACAAGCGGUGGAGCAUGUGGUUUAAUUCGAAGCAACGCGCAGAACCUUACCAGCCUUUGACAUCCUAGGACGACUUCUGGAGACAGAUUUCUUCCCUUCGGGGACCUAGUGACAGGUGCUGCAUGGCUGUCGU